CCUACGGGAGGCAGCAGUGGGGAAUUUUGGACAAUGGGCGAAAGCCUGAUCCAGCAAUGCCGCGUGUGUGAAGAAGGCCUUCGGGUUGUAAAGCACUUUUGUCCGGAAAGAAAUCUGUCUGGCUAAUACCCGGACUGGAUGACGGUACCGGAAGAAUAAGCACCGGCUAACUACGUGCCAGCAGCCGCGGUAAUACGUAGGGUGCGAGCGUUAAUCGGAAUUACUGGGCGUAAAGCGUGCGCAGGCGGCGAUGCAAGACAGGUGUGAAAUCCCCGGGCUUAACCUGGGAACUGCACUUGUGACUGCAUUGCUAGAGUGUGUCAGAGGGAGGUGGAAUUCCGCGUGUAGCAGUGAAAUGCGUAGAGAUGCGGAGGAACACCGAUGGCGAAGGCAGCCUCCUGGGAUAACACUGACGCUCAGGCACGAAAGCGUGGGGAGCAAACAGGAUUAGAUACCCUGGUAGUCCACGCCCUAAACUAUGUCAACUAGUUGUCGGGGAUUCAUUUCCUUGGUAACGCAGCUAACGCGUGAAGUUGACCGCCUGGGGAGUACGGCCGCAAGGUUAAAACUCAAAUGAAUUGACGGGGA
rnacentral:rRNA from 1 species